rnacentral:rRNA from 1 species
AUUGAACGCUGGCGGAAUGCUUUACACAUGCAAGUCGAACGGUAACAGGUCUUCGGAUGCUGACGAGUGGCGAACGGGUGAGUAAUAUAUCGGACCGUGCCCAGUCGUGGGGGAUAACGUAGCGAAAGUUACGCUAAUACCGCAUACGAUCUACGGAUGAAAGCGGGGGAUCGCAAGACCUCGCGCGAUUGGCGCGGCCGAUUUCAGAUUAGGUAGUUGGUGGGGUAAAGGCUCACCAAGCCAACGAUCUGUAGCUGGUCUGAGAGGACGACCAGCCACACUGGAACUGAGACACGGUCCAGACUCCUACGGGAGGCAGCAGUGGGGAAUUUUGGACAAUGGACGCAAGUCUGAUCCAGCCAUUCCGCGUGCAGGAUGAAGGCCCUCGGGUUGUAAACUGCUUUUGUACGGAACGAAAAGGUCUCUAUUAAUACUGGGGGCUCAUGACGGUACCGUAAGAAUAAGCACCGGCUAACUACGUGCCAGCAGCCGCCGUAAAAC